UUCACUGACACCAUCCCUGAAUAUGAUAAUCUGGUCUGGCUUUCUUUUCCCUGAACUAGUAUAGAAGUCAAGUAGAAGCUCCCUCAUUAUGCCAUCAUCUUCAGUAUCAGAAAUACGCUUGUACAAAGAAUCGAUCAUCUCCACUUUUGGUGAUUGGGUACGCACUGCAGCUCGGUAACGAGAAAUCAAUGGCCACUGCCUGGAACUGACUACCGCAGCAAUGGAUGGAACAUCCGACUGUCCCGGAGAACCAUGUGAGACAUCCAUACCCAGAAUAAUUGUGGGAACCCUUGAAACCAUCGGAAUGGAUGGAGAAUGCUCAACUGCUAAUAAGGAAUUUAGCCCGCCAAGCUUAGCAUUGAUCUUCAAAAGCACAUUUGUGAGAUAUUGGUCAUUUACCCGCG
rnacentral:misc_RNA from 1 species